ensembl:lncRNA
CAGCUGUCUUUGGGGGGGGGGGGGGGGACCUGUGUUAAAAUAAGUCUCUAAAGUGACUUGUAUGACCGUGUUAAUGGGAAUAUAUUUUGUGGUAUGUGAAUGUACCAGUGUAAAACAGUGUUCAAAUAACAUUAUAGAAACAUGUAAGUGGUUAAUAAUGAAUUAGGAGUUUUGCAUGUAAGACUAUUGGAGCCGUAGACUUUCUGCUACCAGCCUGCUGUGUGACUACAUGGAAGUUUUAGUGUAAGAAGCAAAGGCAUUCUCAAGGUCUGCGUAUGUGCUUUUGCCAGUGCAUAUAAAUGAGUAGAGUGUCUCUUUAAGUGACUGUCUGCGGUGUUGGCUCCCCCCCUCCCUCCCUCAGCCUGCAGGCGGUGAUGUGCAUCAUAAGCACCAUCAUGGAGUCGUGCCCGUCCACCUCCAGCUUCUACAGCACCGCCACCACCAAGACCCAGCACAACGGCAUGAACAACAUCAUCCGCCUCUUCCUCAAGAAGGGCCUGGUCAACGACCUUGCCCGUGUGCCACACAGUCUCGACCUUUCCAGGUGCACACCCACACACACACACACUGAUAAGAGUUCAUUUUGAAACACUGUUAAUGUCUUGAGAAUAUAUUAAUAAUGACCUUGUAUGAACUUAUAUGCAACUCCCGAGUCCUGAGGUAACUUGAGUGAAUUUUUCACCUAACACACUGUGGCUAUACUGAAAUAAUCAAGAUCUUGGGACCUUAACUAAUAACAAGAUCUGAGACUAUGGAAUAUUCACAGUUGUAAUAUUUAAAAAAUCUUUUGUUGUGACUUUGUUAAAGAGUAAGAUUUGAAGACCCCAAAACGGGAAGACUAAUUUUUAACCUCUCACUGUGAAGAGCGUAAACAAAUUCAUAAUUUGAGUUAAGAUGUCAUUAAAAUCCCCAGGACUCCGGGACUAGGGUAAAGCACUUUUGUGGUUCUGACAUGCUGUGAUAUUUGUAAAAACGCUUAUUUAAGCAUUUAUUUUAAAAGUGGUUUUGAAUCUUUGAAUCAAUACAAAAGGAAUUACCAUAGAUUCACCAAGGUGAAAGUAUAGUGACAUUUAUAGUUCUUUGCUCAGCAAAACUGUGCAGACACAUUUGUUUUAAUAUUUAUCAGGCCGCAGCCUUUUAUUCAUGUGGACUAACUUGACGAUUCUCUUUUGUGUGCGUCAGUCCCAACAUGGCAAACACUGUGAAUGCAGCCCUGAAGCCUCUGGAGACACUCUCGCGAAUCGUCAACCAGCCCAGCAGCCUGUUCGGGGGCAAAGGAAACUCCAGCAAGAACAAGACUGAGCAUGACACAGUUGGAACCACCAGAGAUAGCAACAGCAACACCCAAGACCCAGGUAGUCAGCACGGCAGUCGCGACAGAGCUAGCAGUAUGUGAGGGCGGUCUACGCCAUAAUUCUCCAAUGUAGUCAGCACGGCAGUCGCAACAGAGCUAGCAGUAGGUGAGGCGGUCUAGGCCAUAAUUCUAAGCUGUUUUCUUACACGCUCUAUUGAACCCUCUUUCACGCACGAUCAAACCUUUUCACACGCACUAUUGAGCUCACUCAAGCUAUCAAACGGUUACACACACACACUGUCAAACUAUCCCAGUUUACCCCUUAGGGCACCGUACAUACAGGGCAUAUCCUUGCAUUAUCAAGCGGUGUGACUCAACACAAGCAUUUAGUAGGAUGCUCAACAAAAGAUAUUAACUUGUGAAUCCUUCCUUAAAAACCCUUACGGCGAGCUAAACACUGACAAACAGCGCCAGAGAGAUAGAGAUAUUCACAUGGACACAGCCAAGAAAUAACAGUUCUGAUGGAAUGCAAGGUAAUGUCCCAUGUCAUAUUACAGUGCAGUGGCUGCUCUCCAAAAAACAAAAAAAGCAAUUUUGGGUGGAAAUGAAACCUCGAUCAGGUACAAGAAAUGACUCUGGGAACACACUUGGCUAUUUGGUGAGCUGUGCUGCGCAAGUGGUUACUAGGCAACAGAAAUCUUUGGACACCACUAUCUGCAACAGUACAAGUGAAAUAUUACUUGCCGCCUUCUCAUUUUUUACUGUUGUGGUUGAAGUCAAGCCAGGGUUCAGGUCAUUGCAUGUUGCGGCCGUGUAGAAAGUUGAAAAUACUCUAUGUUGCCGUCUCUCAAUGUCAAUGUUCACAUCAGCACAACAGUUGUCACUCGCCCCAGGAAACGAUUGGAUUUGUAAAGGAUCAGCCAAAGCGGAAGGGAUUCCUGUCAUGGCAUGGAAGGGUGUAGAAAAAUAGUAAAGCCAACUCUGUGAAGGGUGUGCCCUUUAUAAGGAGUAUGAGACAUCCCAUAGUAUACUCCAGCAAACAAAUCAAGGGCGUGGCGCUGUGUAGUUUAAUAACACCACUGCUGUGUAGUUUAAUAACACCACUGCUGUGUAGUUUAGUAACACCACUGCUGUGUAGUUUAGUAACACC